rnacentral:rRNA from 1 species
AACGAACGCUGGCGGCGUGCCUAACACAUGCAAGUCGAACGGGAUUAGGGGCUUGCUCCUAAUCUAGUGGCGCACGGGUGAGUAACGCGUAGAUAAUCUGCCUGAUGAUCUGGGAUAACACUUCGAAAGGAGUGCUAAUACCGGAUAAGCCCACGGGUUCUUUGGAAUCUGCGGGAAAAGGGGGGGACCUUUUGGCCUUCUGUCGUCAGAUGAGUCUGCGUACCAUUAGCUAGUUGGUAGGGUAAUGGCCUACCAAGGCGACGAUGGUUAGCUGGGAUGAGAGGGUGAUCAGCCACACUGGAACUGAGACACGGUCCAGACUCCUACGGGAGGCGGCAGUGGGGAAUUUUCCGAAAUGGGCGAAAGCCUGACGCAGCACCGCCGCGUGAGUGAUGAAGGCUUUCGGGUCGUAAAGCUCUGUCAAUGGGAAAAAAGUGUAUUUUGGCUAAUAUCCUUAAUACUUGACGGUACCCAUAAAGGAAGCACCGGCUAACUCCGUGCCAGCCGCCGCAGUAACAC